rnacentral:piRNA from 1 species
UCCCCUUACUCAAGUGAGAUCGGUGACCCAGC